rnacentral:lncRNA from 1 species
UGAUUAGAAUAUAAAGUUGAAAAAAAAAAUAAAUUUGAGGAAAUUUCUUUUUUUUUUUUUGUAAAUUGCACUUUUGGUUCGAGGAGCCUAGUAUUUUGGUUCUCAAAUUUUAAUUGGUCGUAAUUUUUAGCUCAAAUUUUUUGAACUACUAUAAUCAAGUCAUAUGAUUCAAUUUAGUUGACUAAAUAUUAGUAAAUUGUUGAUGUAGAAGUGACGCAAAAGUAUUUAGCCACUUUCAUAUAUAUCAACAAUUUGUCGACAUUUAGUUAAGUAAAUUGGGCUGUGAAACUUAAUUGCAAUAAUUCAGAAAGUUCAAGUAAAAAAUUAUAGCAAAUUAAAACUUGAGGAUCAAAGUGUCACGCGCCUCAUAGUUUGGCGACCAAAAGUAUAAUUUAUCUUUUUUUUUUUUCUUUUUUCAAAUGAUUUAUAAA